ACAAGGAUCCCUAGUAACUGCGAGUGAAGCGGGAAAAGCUCAAAUUUAAAAUCUGGUAGUCUUAUGGCUGCCCGAGUUGUAAUCUAGAGAAGUGUUACCCGCGUUGGACCGUGUACAAGUCUCCUGGAAAGGAGCAUCAUAGAGGGUGAGAAUCCCGUCUUUGACACGGACUGCCAGGGGCUUUGUGGUACACUCUCAAAGAGUCGAGUUGUUUGGGAAUGCAGCUCAAAAUGGGUGGUAAAUUCCAUCUAAAGCUAAAUAUUGGCGAGAGACCGAUAGCGAACAAGUACCGUGAGGGAAAGAUGAAAAGAACUUUGGAAAGAGAGUUAAACAGUACGUGAAAUUGCUGAAAGGGAAACGCUUGAAGUUAGUCGCGUUGGCUGGAAAUCAACCCUUUGGGUGUACUUUCUAGUUGACGGGUCAGCAUCAAUUUUGAUUGUUGGAUAAAGGCUUAGGGAAUGUGGCAUCUUCGGAUGUGUUAUAGCCCUAGGUUGCAUACAACAGUUGGGAUUGAGGAACUCAGCACGCCGAAAGGCCGGGUAUUUUACCACGAUUCGUGCUUAGGAUGCUGGCAUAAUAGCUUUAAUCGACCCGUCUUGAAACACGGACCAAGGAGUCUAACAUGCCUGCGAGUAUUUGGGUGGAAAACCCGGAUGCGUAAUGAAAGUGAAAGUUGAGAACCCUGUCGUGGGGUGCAUCGACGCCCGGACUUGAUGUUUACUGACGGUUCCGCGGUAGAGCAUGUAUGUUGGGACCCGAAAGAUGGUGAACUAUGCCUGAAUAGGGGUGAAGCCAGAGGAAACUACUGGUGGAGGCUCGUAGCGAUUUCUGACGUGCAAAUCGAUCGUCAAAUUUGGGUAUAGGGGCGAAAGACUAAUCGAACCAUCUAGUAGCUGGGUUCCUGCCGAAGU
rnacentral:rRNA from 1 species